rnacentral:rRNA from 1 species
UCCUGCUCAGGACGAACGCUGGCGGCGGCCUUAUACAUCAAGUCGAGCGGAGUUUGAAAGGAAGCUUGCUUCCUUUCAAACUUAGCGGCGGACGGGUGAGUAACACGUAGGCAACCUGCCCUCAAGCCUGGGAUAACUACCGGAAACGGUAGCUAAUACCGGAUAAUUUCUUUCUUCUCCUGAGGAGAGAAUGAAAGGCGGAGCAAUCUGCUGCUUGGGGAUGGGCCUGCGGCGCAUUAGCUAGUUGGUGGGGUAACGGCCCACCAAGGCGACGAUGCGUAGCCGACCUGAGAGGGUGAACGGCCACACUGGGACUGAGACACGGCCCAGACUCCUACGGGAGGCAGCAGUAGGGAAUCUUCCGCAAUGGGCGCAAGCCUGACGGAGCAACGCCGCGUGAGUGAUGAAGGUUUUCGGAUCGUAAAGCUCUGUUGCCAGGGAAGACGUCCGGUAGAGUAACUGCUACCGGAGUGACGGUACCUGAGAAGAAAG